rnacentral:rRNA from 1 species
GCUCAGGAUGAACGCUAGCUACAGGCUUAACACAUGCAAGUCGAGGGGCAGCAUGGUCUUAGCUUGCUAAGGCUGAUGGCGACCGGCGCACGGGUGAGUAACACGUAUCCAACCUGCCGUCUACUCUUGGCCAGCCUUCUGAAAGGAAGAUUAAUCCAGGAUGGGAUCAUGAGUUCACAUGUCCGCAUGAUUAAAGGUAUUUUCCGGUAGACGAUGGGGAUGCGUUCCAUUAGAUAGUAGGCGGGGUAACGGCCCACCUAGUCAACGAUGGAUAGGGGUUCUGAGAGGAAGGUCCCCCACAUUGGAACUGAGACACGGUCCAAACUCCUACGGGAGGCAGCAGUGAGGAAUAUUGGUCAAUGGGCGAUGGCCUGAACCAGCCAAGUAGCGUGA